rnacentral:rRNA from 1 species
AGCGAACGCUGGCGGCAGGCCUAACACAUGCAAGUCGAACGAAGUCUUCGGACUUAGUGGCGGACGGGUGAGUAACACGUGGGAACGUGCCUUUAGGUUCGGAAUAACUCAGGGAAACUUGUGCUAAUACCGAAUGUGCCCUUCGGGGGAAAGAUUUAUCGCCUUUAGAGCGGCCCGCGUCUGAUUAGCUAGUUGGUGGGGUAAUGGCCCACCAAGGCUACGAUCAGUAGCUGGUCUGAGAGGAUGACCAGCCACAUUGGGACUGAGACACGGCCCAAACUCCUACGGGAGGCAGCAGUGGGGAAUCUUGCGCAAUGGGCGAAAGCCUGACGCAGCCAUGCCGCGUGGAUGAUGAAGGUCUUAGGAUUGUAAAAUCCUUUCACCGGUGAAGAUAAUGACUGUACCCACAGAAGAAGCCCCGGCUAACUCCGUGCCAGCCGCCGCCGUAAUAC